AUUGAACGCUGGCGGCAGGCCUAACACAUGCAAGUCGAACGGUAACAGGAUGUGCUUGCACAUCGCUGACGAGUGGCGGACGGGUGAGUAAUGCUUGGGAACUUGCCUUUGCGAGGGGGAUAACAGUUGGAAACGACUGCUAAUACCGCAUAAUGUCUACGGACCAAACGGGGCUUCGGCUCCGGCGCAAAGAGAGGCCCAAGUGAGAUUAGCUAGUUGGUAAGGUAACGGCUUACCAAGGCGACGAUCUCUAGCUGUUCUGAGAGGAAGAUCAGCCACACUGGGACUGAGACACGGCCCAGACUCCUACGGGAGGCAGCAGUGGGGAAUAUUGCACAAUGGGGGAAACCCUGAUGCAGCCAUGCCGCGUGUGUGAAGAAGGCCUUCGGGUUGUAAAGCACUUUCAGUUGUGAGGAAAAGUUAGUAGUUAAUACCUGCUAGCCGUGACGUUAACAACAGAAGAAGCACCGGCUAACUCCGUGCCAGCAGCCGCGGUAAUACGGAGGGUGCGAGCGUUAAUCGGAAUUACUGGGCGUAAAGCGCACGCAGGCGGUUUGUUAAGCUAGAUGUGAAAGCCCCGGGCUCAACCUGGGAUGGUCAUUUAGAACUGGCAGACUGGAGUCUUGGAGAGGGGAGUGGAAUUCCAGGUGUAGCGGUGAAAUGCGUAGAUAUCUGGAGGAACAUCAGUGGCGAAGGCGACUCCCUGGCCAAAGACUGACGCUCAUGUGCGAAAGUGUGGGUAGCGAACAGGAUUAGAUACCCUGGUAGUCCACACCGUAAACGCUGUCUACU
rnacentral:rRNA from 1 species